UUAGAGUUUGAUCAUGGCUCAGGAUGAACGCUAGCGGCAGGCUUAACACAUGCAAGUCGAACGGCAACACGGGUAGCAAUACCUGGUGGCGAGUGGCGCACGGGUGCGUAACGCGUAUGCAACCUGCCCCGCACAGUGGGAUAGCCCCGAGAAAUUGGGAAUAAUACCACAUGGUACCAGGGAUUGGCAUCAACCCCUGGUUAAAGGAACCCGGUGCGGGAUGGGCAUGCGUGACAUUAGCUAGUUGGCGGGGUAACGGCCCACCAAGGCGACGAUGUCUAGGGGUUCUGAGAGGAUACACCCCCACACUGGUACUGAGACACGGACCAGACUCCUACGGGAGGCAGCAGUGAGGAAUAUUGGUCAAUGGGCGCGAGCCUGAACCAGCCAUGCCGCGUGCAGGAAUGAAGGCCCUAUGGGUUGUAAACUGCUUUUGCGUGGGGAUAAACCCCCGUUCGUGAACGGGGUUGAAGGUACCACGCGAAUAAGCAUCGGCUAACUCCGUGCCAGCAGCCGCGGUAAUACGGAGGAUGCGAGCGUUAUCCGGAUUUAUUGGGUUUAAAGGGUGCGCAGGCGGGUCGAUAAGUCAGUGGUGAAAUCUCCCGGCUCAACCGGGAAACUGCCAUUGAUACUGUCGGUCUAGAGUACAGUUGGGGUAGGCGGAAUGUAGCAUGUAGCGGUGAAAUGCUUAGAGAUGCUACAGAACACCGAUCGCGAAGGCAGCUUACCAAGCUGAAACUGACGCUCAUGCACGAAAGCGUGGGGAUCAAACAGGAUUAGACACCCUGGUAGUCCACGCUGUAAACGAUGAUCACUAGCUGUUGGCGAUACACAGCCAGUGGCUAAGCGAAAGUGAUAAGUGAUCCACCUGGGGAGUACGAUCGCAAGGUUGAAACUCAAAGGAAUUGACGGGGGCCCGCACAAGCGGAGGAGCAUGUGGUUUAAUUCGAUGAUACGCGAGGAACCUUACCUGGGCUUAAAUGUAGGUUGCAUGAGGUGGAAACACUUCUUCCCUUCGGGGCUACCUACAAGGUGCUGCAUGGUUGUCGUCAGCUCGUGCCGUGAGGUGUCGGGUUAAGUCCCAUAACGAGCGCAACCCUUACCCCUAGUUGCCAACGCGUGAAGGCGGGGACUCUAGGGGGACUGCCGGCGCAAGCCGAGAGGAAGGUGGGGAUGACGUCAAAUCAGCACGGCCCUUACGUCCAGGGCUACACACGUGCUACAAUGGCCGGUACAGAGGGCAGCCACCCCGCGAGGGGGAGCGAAUCUCCAAAGCCGGUCUCAGUUCGGAUCGGAGUCUGCAACCCGACUCCGUGAAGUUGGAUUCGCUAGUAAUCGCGCAUCAGCCAUGGCGCGGUGAAUACGUUCCCGGGCCUUGUACACACCGCCCGUCAAGCCAUGGAAGCUGGGGGUACCUAAAGUCCGUAACCGCGAGGAGCGGCCUAGGGUAAAACUAGUAACUGGGGCUAAGUCGUAACAAGGUAGCCAAGGGCGAA
rnacentral:rRNA from 1 species